ensembl:lncRNA
GCAGCAAUGCCGACAACUCCAUGGAGCUCCAGAGAAUUUAAGAAACAGUCCGAGUGGAUAAAAUAAAACACUGACUGUGCGUGUGUGUGUUUGUGUGUCGAAGGAAGACACAGGAAGGAAGAAGGAUAGAAAAGAAGCCAGACCUGAAGACUGGAAGGGAAUAAGACAGACAGGGAAACAUGACGCAAUCCCCCCGUUUCCCAACCCCCAUCAGUCUGCCCAUCGGUGCUGCAAAGCACAAGGUGACAGAUUUUCUUCUCACUCACACAUUUCUGAUGCAACCCCCCCCGGAGGAAAGCCGGCGGUCGGCCUCUGGCUCGUGGUGAAACGGUAGCGAGGGUCUAGCACUCGCGAAGCCACAAAGCCUGGCGAAGCUUCCCGGAGGCUCGAAACGAACGCUGCGGAGGCCGAGAGCCCAAAGAGGUGCACAGAAGGUGUUUGGAUACCAACACUUGCCACACAUUUCUUUUCGUUCACAGAACGCUCCCUGCAGGUUCAACCAGGGCAGCAGUGCUGCACAGCUGUAGCAGAAAGCUGCGCCACAUUGGCCACGUUCCUCUGAGGCAAUGGUAUCUCAUUCGGUGACAUCAUUAGACCAAGCCCUCGCAGCGCCUGUGGAAGAGCAAGUGAGCAAAGUCUGCGGGACCGGCACCCGGGUCAGAGCACUGCUGUGGGAGCAUCUGACUGCGGGACACUGAUGGAUGUCGGGAGACGGAAGCCCACCAGCCAUCUGGCGGGCCGGAGACACCGACGGGGGAGCGCCAUCGAUCUGUGUCAUGUCUACGGGCUCGCGGCCUGAGAUGUGGAAAAUGACAUGGCACUAUUUGUGAAAUUCUAACAAAGGGGCGUCGACGCUUAUGCAGGCGAAUGAGACUUUACAAAGAGAUCAUGAAUUGAGAAACGUAUUAGUUAGAUUUUCUUACUGGCCCACUGUGAACUGACUAAACUUUUCUUCUGAGACUAUUUUCAAAUGCAAUCUGCUAACUGGCCAAUCUGCCACAGUGAAGAUUUAGAGAAACUCGUUUUCGGAGUUUGUGUCUUAUGUGCCAUUAUCCUUUUUGUGAAGCGUCAACGGCAGCAUGAAUACAUCAUUGAACAAACAACCGUAAUUACUUUUUACAUGUUUACACAUAAAUCUAGAGUUACGCUCCCAACAUAUUGAGGAACAAAGGCACCGGAAUGAGUCACCGUGCUUUACUUCUUCCCUCGUUUGAAAUUACACAAUAAAAAAAAAAA